GGAGGCAGCAGUGAGGAAUAUUGGUCAAUGGGCGCGAGCCUGAACCAGCCAAGUCGCGUGAGGGAUGAAGGUUCUAUGGAUCGUAAACCUCUUUUAUAAGGGAAUAAAGUGUGGGACGUGUCCUAUUUUGUAUGUACCUUAUGAAUAAGGAUCGGCUAACUCCGUGCCAGCAGCCGCGGUAAUACGGAGGAUCCGAGCGUUAUCCGGAUUUAUUGGGUUUAAAGGGUGCGUAGGCGGCCUUUUAAGUCAGCGGUGAAAGUCUGUGGCUCAACCAUAGAAUUGCCGUUGAAACUGGGGGGCUUGAGUAUGUUUGAGGCAGGCGGAAUGCGUGGUGUAGCGGUGAAAUGCUUAGAUAUCACGCAGAACCCCGAUUGCGAAGGCAGCCUGCCAAGCCAUGACUGACGCUGAUGCACGAAAGCGUGGGGAUCAAACAGGAUUAGAUACCCUGGUAGUCCACGCAGUAAACGAUGAUCACUAGCUGUUUGCGAUACAGUGUAA
rnacentral:rRNA from 1 species